UACGGAGGGUGCGAGCGUUGUCCGGAAUCAUUGGGCGUAAAGGGCGCGUAGGUGGCCCGGUCAGUCUUUGGUGAAAGCGCGGGGCUCAACCCUGCGUCGGCCAGGGAUACUGCCGCGGCUCGAGCACUGUAGAGGCAGGCGGAAUUCCGGGUGUAGCGGUGGAAUGCGUAGAGAUCCGGAAGAACACCGGUGGCGAAGGCGGCCUGCUGGGCCUUACCUGACGCUGAGGAGCGAAAGCGUGGGGAGCGAACAGG
rnacentral:rRNA from 1 species